CCCUAAGGCGAGGCCGAGAGGCGUAGUCGAUGGGAAAUUGGUUAAUAUUCCAAUACUUCUGUGUAAUGCGAUGAGAGGACGGAGAAGGUUAAGUCAGCCUGGCGUUGGUUGUCCAGGUGGAAGGAAGUAGGCAUGCAUCUUAGGCAAAUCCGGGGUGCUCUAUGCUGAGAUCUGAUAGCAAGCUGUACUUGUACAGCGAAGUGGCUGAUACCAUGCUUCCAGGAAAAGUCUCUAAGCUUCAGUUACACAGGAAUCGUACCCGAAACCGACACAGGUGGUCAGGUCGAGUAGACCAAGGCGCUUGAGAGAACUCUGCUGAAGGAACUAGGCAAAAUGGUACCGUAACUUCGGGAGAAGGUACGCUGCUGACGGUGAUGACCCUUGCGGUCUGAGCUAUUGGCAGCCACAGAAACCAGGCCGCUGCAACUGUUUAUUAAAAACAUAGCACUCUGCAAACACGAAAGUGGACGUAUAGGGUGUGAUGCCUGCCCGGUGCUGGAAGGUUAAUUGAUGGGGUUAGCGUAAGCGAAGCUCUUGAUCGAAGCCCCAGUAAACGGCGGCCGUAACUAUAACGGUCCUAAGGUAGCGAAAUUCCUUGUCGGGUAAGUUCCGACCUGCACGAAUGGCGUAACGAUGGCGGCGCUGUCUCCAGCAGAGGCUCAGUGAAAUCGAAAUCGCUGUGAAGAUGCAGUGUACCCGCGGCUAGACGGAAAGACCCCGUGAACCUUUACUGCAGCUUGACAUUGAACUUUGACCUUACUUGUGUAGGAUAGGUGGGAGGCUUUGAAGUUGGAACGCUAGUUCCAAUGGAGCCGUCCUUGAAAUACCACCCUGGUAAUGUUGAGGUUCUAACUCUGUCCCGUUAUCCGGGACGAGGACCAUGUCUGGUGGGUAGUUUGACUGGGGCGGUCUCCUCCUAAAGAGUAACGGAGGAGUACGAAGGUGCGCUCAGCGUGGUCGGAAAUCACGCGUAGAGUAUAAAGGCAAAAGCGCGCUUAACUGCGAGACCCACAAGUCGAGCAGGUACGAAAGUAGGUCUUAGUGAUCCGGUGG
rnacentral:rRNA from 1 species